rnacentral:rRNA from 1 species
GAUGAACGCUAGCGACAGGCCUAACACAUGCAAGUCGAGGGGCAGCACAAGGAGCAAUCUGAGGUGGCGACCGGCGCACGGGUGAGUAACACGUAUGCAACCUACCUGUAAGAGGGGAAUAACCCGUUGAAAAACGGACUAAUACCGCAUAACACUGUAGAACCGCAUGGUUUGACAGUUAAACAUUUAUGGCUUACAGAUGGGCAUGCGCAUGAUUAGCUAGUUGGUGAGGUAACGGCUCACCAAGGCAACGAUCAUUAGGGGUUCUGAGAGGAAGGUCCCCCACACUGGUACUGAGACACGGACCAGACUCCUACGGGAGGCAGCAGUGAGGAAUAUUGGUCAAUGGGCGAGAGCCUGAACCAGCCAAGUCGCGUGAAGGAUGUAAGGUUUUAUGAAUUGUAAACUUCUUUUGCAGGGGGAUAAAGGUGUCCGACGUGUCGGUAUUUUGUAUGUACUCUGCGAAAUAAGGAUCGGACUAACUCCGUGCCAGCAGCCGG